UACGUAGGGAUCAAGCGUUGUUCGGAUUUACUGGGCGUAAAGGGCGCGUAGGCGGCUUAACAAGUCACUUGUGAAAUCUCCGGGCUUAACUCGGAACGGCCAAGUGAAACUGUCAAGCUAGAGUGCAGAAGGGGCAAUCGGAAUUCUUGGUGUAGCGGUGAAAUGCGUAGAUAUCAAGAGGAACACCUGAGGUGAAGACGGGUUGCUGGGCUGACACUGACGCUGAGGCGCGAAAGCCAGGGGAGCAAACGGG
rnacentral:rRNA from 1 species